rnacentral:rRNA from 1 species
UACGUAGGUGGCAAGCGUUGUCCGGAUUUACUGGGCGUAAAGAGCGCGCAGGCGGUCGUUCAAGUCGCGUGUGAAAGCCCCCGGCUCAACUGGGGAGGGUCACGCGAUACUGAUCGACUCGAAGGCAGGAGAGGGUAGUGGAAUUCCCGGUGUAGUGGUGAAAUGCGUAGAUAUCGGGAGGAACACCAGUGGCGAAGGCGGCUCACUGGCUCGUAACUGACGCUCAUGCACGACAGCGUGGGGAGCAAACAGG